AACGAACGCUGGCGGCAGGCCUAACACAUGCAAGUCGAGCGCCCCGCAAGGGGAGCGGCGGACGGGUGAGUAACGCGUGGGAAUAUGCCCUUUGCUACGGAAUAGUCUCGGGAAACUGGGGGUAAUACCGUAUACGCCCCUUGGGGGAAAGAUUUAUCGGCGAAGGAUUAGCCCGCGUUGGAUUAGGUAGUUGGUGGGGUAAUGGCCUACCAAGCCGACGAUCCAUAGCUGGUUUGAGAGGAUGAUCAGCCACACUGGGACUGAGACACGGCCCAGACUCCUACGGGAGGCAGCAGUGGGGAAUCUUAGACAAUGGGGGCAACCCUGAUCUAGCCAUGCCGCGUGAGUGAUGAAGGCCUUAGGGUUGUAAAGCUCUUUCAGCUGGGAAGAUAAUGACGGUACCAGCAGAAGAAGCCCCGGCUAACUCCGUG
rnacentral:rRNA from 1 species